GAUGUGGCUGUGAUGUCAUGUCAACCAGGCCUUUUGAUUUGUGCAUGUGUCUUCACUCAGGAUGUGGCUGUGAUGUCAUGUCAAUCAGGCCUUUUGAUUUGAACAUAUGGAUUAGGUUUAGGUUUGUAGCCUAGGAUACCAUUUUAAUUAUUUUAAUUAAUGGAUCAUGUCUUUAGCGGUCAUUCUCAAUGAUCAGUGCUUUACUUUCUUUUUUUUGCUGCACAGCAGUUUCUGAAUUUACAAUGAACCUUUACUGUCCACGUUUUUCUGUGCCUUUUUGAGUUGAACAUUUGAAAAGUUGUUGUGUGUGUAGUAGGCCCUCCCCCUGAAAAGAUUUAGAUGCACUACUGUUCCACUGGAGGUCAUAAGAAUUAGUUCUGAUUGGGUAGUUCCAUCUGUACCACAGAAUUAGUUCUGAUUGGGUAGUUCCAUCUGUACCACAGAAUUAGUUCUGAUUGGGUAGUUCCAUCUGUACCACAGAAUUAGUUCUGAUUGGGUAGUUCCAUCUGUACCACAGAAUUAGUUCUGAUUGGGUAGUUCCAUCUGUACCACAGAAUUAGUUCUGAUUGGGUAGUUCCAUCUGUACCACAGAAUUAGUUCUGAUUGGGUAGUUCCAUCUGUACCACAGAAUUAGUUCUGAUUGGGUAGUUCCAUCUGUACCACAGAAUUAGUUCUGAUUGGGUAGUUCCAUCUGUACCACAGAAUUAGUUCUGAUUGGGUAGUUCCAUCUGUACCACAGAAUUAGUUCUGAUUGGGUAGUUCCAUCUGUACCUGUAGGCUACUUGAUUUAAUGUAUUAUAUAUGUUGUUGCUUUGGUCUCACUAAUAAAUAAUAAUAAUAAUAAUGAUGAAUAAUAAUAAAUAUGUUGAAAUGGAA